ACGAUAACGGCGUCGAGCGGCGGACGGGUGAGUAAUGCCUAGGAAAUUGCCCUGAUGUGGGGGAUAACCAUUGGAAACGAUGGCUAAUACCGCAUGAUGCCUACGGGCCAAAGAGGGGGACCUUCGGGCCUCUCGCGUCAGGAUAUGCCUAGGUGGGAUUAGCUAGUUGGUGAGGUAAGGGCUCACCAAGGCGACGAUCCCUAGCUGGUCUGAGAGGAUGAUCAGCCACACUGGAACUGAGACACGGUCCAGACUCCUACGGGAGGCAGCAGUGGGGAAUAUUGCACAAUGGGCGCAAGCCUGAUGCAGCCAUGCCGCGUGUGUGAAGAAGGCCUUCGGGUUGUAAAGCACUUUCAGUCGUGAGGAAGGUGGUGUUGUUAAUAGCUGUAUCAUUUGACGUUAGCGACAGAAGAAGCACCGGCUAACUCCGUGCCAGCAGCCGCGGUAAUACGGAGGGUGCGAGCGUUAAUCGGAAUUACUGGGCGUAAAGCGCAUGCAGGUGGUUUGUUAAGUCAGAUGUGAAAGCCCGGGGCUCAACCUCGGAAUAGCAUUUGAAACUGGCAGACUAGAGUACUGUAGAGGGGGGGUAGAAAUUUCAGGUGUAGCGGGUGAAAUGCGUA
rnacentral:rRNA from 1 species